rnacentral:rRNA from 1 species
GAUGAACGCUGGCGGCGUGCCUAAUACAUGCAAGUCGAGCGAACAGACGAGGAGCUUGCUCCACUGACGUUAGCGGCGGACGGGUGAGUAACACGUGGAUAACCUACCUAUAAGACUGGGAUAACUUCGGGAAACCGGAGCUAAUACCGGAUAAUAUAUUGAACCGCAUGGUUCAAUAGUGAAAGACGGUUUCGCUGUCACUUAUAGAUGGAUCCGCGCCGCAUUAGCUAGUUGGUAAGGUAACGGCUUACCAAGGCAACGAUGCGUAGCCGACCUGAGAGGGUGAUCGGCCACACUGGAACUGAGACACGGUCCAGACUCCUACGGGAGGCAGCAGUAGGGAAUCUUCCGCAAUGGGCGAAAGCCUGACGGAGCAACGCCGCGUGAGUGAUGAAGGUCUUCGGAUCGUAAAACUCUGUUAUUAGGGAAGAACAAAUGUGUAAGUAACUAUGCACGUCUUGACGGUACCUAAUCAGAAAGCCACGGCUAACUACGUG